rnacentral:rRNA from 1 species
CUGGCUCAGGAUGAACGCUGGCGGCGUGCUUAACACAUGCAAGUCGAACGAAGCAACUUGUCACGAUCCCUCGGGGUGACGACUUGUUGACUGAGUGGCGGACGGGUGAGUAACGCGUGGGUAACCUACCUUGUACAGGGGGAUAACAGUUGGAAACGACUGCUAAUACCGCAUAAGCGCACAGCAUCGCAUGAUGCAGUGUGAAAAAGUUUUUCGGUAUAAGAUGGACCCCGCGUCUGAUUAGCUAGUUGGUGAGGUAACGGCCCACCAAGGCGACGAUCAGUAGCCGACCUGAGAGGGUGACCGGCCACAUUGGGACUGAGACACGGCCCAAACUCCUACGGGAGGCAGCAGUGGGGAAUAUUGCACAAUGGGCGAAAGCCUGAUGCAGCCGACGCCGCGUGAGCGAAGAAGUAUUUCGGUAUGUAAAGCUCUAUCAGCAGGGAAGAUAAUGACGGUACCUGACUAAGAAGCACCGGCUAAAUACGUGCCAGCCGCGGC